GAUGAACGCUGGCGGCGUGCCUAAUACAUGCAAGUCGAGCGAACGGACGAGAAGCUUGCUUCUCUGAUGUUAGCGGCGGACGGGUGAGUAACACGUGGAUAACCUACCUUUAAGACUGGGAUAACUUCGGGAAACCGGAGCUAAUACCGGAUGAUAUUUUGAACCGCAUGGUUCAAAAGUGAAAGACGGUCUUGCUGUCACUUAUAGAUGGAUCCGCGCUGCAUUAGCUAGUUGGUAAGGUAACGGCUUACCAAGGCAACGAUGCAUAGCCGACCUGAGAGGGUGAUCGGCCACACUGGAACUGAGACACGGUCCAGACUCCUACGGGAGGCAGCAGUAGGGAAUCUUCCGCAAUGGGCGAAAGCCUGACGGAGCAACGCCGCGUGAGUGAUGAAGGUCUUCGGAUCGUAAAACUCUGUUAUUAGGGAAGAACAUAUGUUUAAGUAACUGUGCACAUCUUGACGGUACCUAAUCAGAAAGCCACGGCUAACUACGU
rnacentral:rRNA from 1 species